rnacentral:rRNA from 1 species
UACAGAGGGUGCGAGCGUUAAUCGGAAUUACUGGGCGUAAAGGGCGCGUAGGCGGUUUUCUAAGUCGGUUGUGAAAUCCCAGGGCUUAACCUUGGAACUGCAAUUGAUACUGGGGAACUGGAGUCGAAGAGAGGGGGGCGGAAUUUCCGGUGUAGCGGUGAAAUGCGUAGAUAUCGGAAGGAACACCCGUGGCGAAGGCGGCCCCCUGGCUUCAGACUGACGCUGAGGCGCGAAAGCGUGGGUAGCGAACAGG